CCAGGAGCAAAAAGUUGAUACUGCUCCAGGAUAUGGUAUUGUUCCCAGAGCUAUUCAAUAUUGGGUUCGAAUAAGGAAGAAGCUUCCAUUCUGGAUCUGAGAGAGAUUUAUCGGUCGAAUUCUCCGACCGACUAUCUUGAGAAAAAAAAGCCUUUUUACUGACCAUCGAAAAUGAAAAACUAAAAAAGAGGAGAGAAAACCCUAAGAGAAAGCCCUAAGAGAAGGAAGAAGGACUCGAUCUGAAGCCAAGGAUAGUG
rnacentral:lncRNA from 1 species